rnacentral:rRNA from 1 species
AGUGAACGCUGGCGGUAGGCCUAACACAUGCAAGUCGAACGGCAGCACAGUAAGAGCUUGCUCUUACGGGUGGCGAGUGGCGGACGGGUGCGGAAUACAUCGGAAUCUACUUUUUCGUGGGGGAUAACGUAGGGAAACUUACGCUAAUACCGCAUACGACCUACGGGUGAAAGCAGGGGAUCUUCGGACCUUGCGCUAUUGAAUGAGCCGAUGUCGGAUUAGCUAGUUGGCGGGGUAAAGGCCCACCAAGGCGACGAUCCGUAGCUGGCCUGAGAGGAUGAUCAGCCACACUGGAACUGAGACACGGUCCCGACUCCUAAGGGAGGCAGCAGUGGGGAAUAUUGGACAAUGGGCGCAAGCCUGAUCCAGGCAUACCGCGUGGGUGAAGAAGGCCUUAGGGUUGUAAAGCCAUUUUGUUGGGAAAGAAAAGCAGCAGGUUAACACCCCGCUGUUCUGACGGUACCGAAAGAAUAAGCACCGGCUAACUUCGUG